GAAGAGAAGCCAACACCAGCCACACCAGCCAAGCCAUGUAUGCAAAAGGGUAACACGGGGUGUGAAGUGUGUCUGCCGUCAAGUCAACGGUUACGUGGGGGAAAGGGGAGGUUGGCUCUUAGAGGGCAAUCAUAGUGUGGGAAGCACGACGCACAGGCAACUUUUACGCGUCCGUAGUACGUAGCAAAAACCAAAAAAAAAAAAACUAACAAAAUAUGAAAUAAAUAUUCCCCGUACGAAGCAAUCAAGCUGUGUGGGGCUUUACCCGCCGAUCAGGCCUCUUUGCGGUCUUGGCGAUGGCGACGAGUGGUUUCGGUUUGGGAGCCGUAUGGAGCCGCAACCGAAUAACGUCAACUUUCGCCAUCUGCCAUGGGUGCAAAACCGUGCGAAAGUGACGAGCCGCGCGAGCGUUAUGAAUAUUCCGAUGAGUUCCACGACGGUGCUGGUGGCGUGCGGUUUGAUGCACGUGUCCCUACCAUACGGUUGACUAUCGGUGAAGGUAGGAUUGAUUAACCACCGGCUGUCUUUCACCGGUGCUGCUAGGUGCUAACGGUUAAUGAAUCCUUUACAAACGAUUGCUCGUUUGACAUAUCGAUGUCUGUGAAGCACUGUUUGGGCGAGGGCACAGCGAGAGAGAUUGGAUGUCAUUGCAUAUCAUUAGACAUAUUAACGGCAGCUUCGAUGUUUGUUCCCCACAGGUUUGGCCAGCGCAGAACGCUUGCAACCAUCGGCUGAAGAUGACGAGAACAACGCACCCGAUAACGGCUGGGAUAUUAUGGCUGCUGCUGCUGGCGGCAGAUCUUACCAACGCCCAAACAUCCAUCGGUGCCAGCGUCGUUCUCGAUCCGCAAGAUGUGACGGUGAUCGUCGGCGAACGGCAACAGUUUUUCGCCAAGGUGCGCGGCGUACUAUCGCAGGACGUUCGGCUUAAUUUCUCCAACGAUCACACCGAUUUCGUCGAGGUGGUGCCAAGUUCGAUUGUGAUGAGCCCGGGCGAUGGUGGCUUUAUCGAUCGGGUGUACGAAAUCGAUCUCGUCGGAUUAUCGCCCGGUCAGUUCGAUCUGGAAGCGUCAGUCGUACCGACCGGUCUGAUCGACGAUGCGGCCGCAUUCAUUCGCGUCACCGUCGCCAACUCGCAGCCCAUCAUUGUGAUCUCGAGCGUGAUUGGGUGGAUCUAUUUCGCCGCCUGGACCGUUUCCUUCUGGCCCCAGAUGAUCAUCAACUACCGGCGACAGAGUGUGGUGGGCCUUUCGUUCGACUUUCUUACGCUGAAUCUCGUCGGCCAUUCGGUGUAUGCCGCGUUCAACUGUGCGCUGUACUGGAGCGGCUACAUCGAGCAGGAGUAUCUCGAUCGUAACCCGCGCGGGCUCAAUCCGGUACUUACGAAUGAUGUCGCGUUUUCGAUACACGCCACCAUCGCCACGCUGCUCACAGUGGCACAGUGUUUCAUCUACGAGCGUGGCGAACAAAAGGUGUCCCGAAUUGCGUGGGGAAUUCUCGUGAUCUUCGUGAUCGUCAUCAUCGUGGCGGGUAUUCUCGUCGGUACGGAAACCUUCCACUGGCUAGACUUUCUGUAUGUGCUGAGCUACAUUAAACUGUCGGUGACGCUGAUCAAAUAUGUACCGCAGGCGGUACUGAACUUCCGGCGCAAGAGCACUGUUGGCUGGAGCAUAGAGAACGUGCUGCUGGACUUUACCGGCGGUAUGCUUAGCAUGCUGCAGAUGUUGCUGAAUGGAUACAACUAUGAUGAUUGGGCCUCCAUUUUCGGUGAUCCGACCAAGUUUGGGCUUGGAUUGUUCUCAGUGCUAUUCGACAUUCUGUUUAUAGUUCAGCAUUACAUCCUCUACAGAACACCGAAAAAACGGAUCGAUCCUAUCGAAUCGAAUCUAGAAACAUUGCUCAAACAACCGCAUGUUAUUACCAGCACUGAUACAGAAUAGUCUAACACGCCAAUAACACACCAAACACCAAAAACCUGUUACAGCACAGUACAGGAGCGCGUUUACACGGAACAAUUAUACACUACUCACCCAGCAUGAAAUACAAAAAUCGUGCGGAUGCUAAAACACUACAAGAAGACUCCACGACGACUAAUACCACCGUCAGCAAUGGAGGCAGCAAGGAUAGCCUUCCAUAGUUGUAGUACGUUUUGUGUAACGAGGAAACAUUAGCAUAAGCAAUCUUAAGGCAUCUACGGCUACGAUUAAGUACAUCUAGUUGUAACGCAUUUCCCCCAUUUUGCUUCGAGUGCGCCUCAUCCGCCAUAGGUGAUACGUUAGGAUUAAUUCCACUUUACGGCGUAAAGUAUACUGAUGUCACUUUGGUGUACACAUAUGAUUGGAGUGAUUCUGUAGCAUAAUUUAAACAUAGUUUGAACGUUUAACAAUAAAGGCAAAGAUCAAAGUGAAGGUGUAG